rnacentral:rRNA from 1 species
CUUGUUUUGAGGUGCGAUCCAAUAACACCGCCGCGCCAGGGGGAGGAAAAGCGGCGUAAAGGAACCCCUGUAGGCCACGCAGGAAAGAAGCAAAAUUACGGGUGCAAAACACAGAAGCGGACCAAGCGAAAGCAUUAAGUAAUCCACCUGGGAAGNACGCCGCCAACGGUGAAGCUCAAAGGAAAUGGACGGGGGCCCGCACAAGCGGAGGAAACAUGUGGUUUAAUUCGAUGAGACGCGAGGAACAUGACCCGGGCUUUAAAUGGCACGUGAAAAACGUGGAAACAUGUUAGCCGCAAGGCAGGUGUGAAGGUGCUGCAUGGUUGUCGUCAGCUCGAGCCGUGAGGAGUCGGCUUAAGUGCCAUAACGAGCGCAACCAUUAUCUUUAGUUACUAACAGGUCAUGCUGAGGACUCUAGAGAGACUGCCGUCGUAAGAUGUGAGGAAGGUGGGGAGGACGUCAAAUCAGCACGGCCCUUACGUCCGGGGCUACACACGUGUUACAAUGGGGGGUACAGAAGGCCGCUACCUGGCGACAGGAUGCUAAUCCCAAAAACCUCUCUCAGUUCGGAUCGAAGUCUGCAACCCGACAUCGUGAAGCUGGAUUCGCUAGUAAUCGCGCAUCAGCCAUGGCGCGGUGAAUACGUUCCCGGGCCUUGUACACACCGCCCGUCAAGCCAUGAAAGCCGGGGGUACCCGAAGUACGUAACCGCAAGGAGCGUCCUAGGGUAAAACUGGUAAUUGGGGCUAAGUCGUAACAAGG